GGUUUUAUAGUGUAGUGGUCAUCACUCGGGAUUCUGAUUCCCGCGACUCAGGUUCGAUCCCUGAUAAAACCU